GACACUGUCCACAUUGGACCUGGGUGGAAAAUCUCCGCCGUCAAAAUCCAACUUAGUUCAACAAAAUUCAAGUAAAACGCGAGUUCGUCGUGAUUGAGUGACUGCCAAUGUGGCAAACUCCCGAAAGACUGCGUUGAUUGGCACAUUUCAGUGCAUUCCUCGCCCAAAUUGAGCAGAAGAGAUCAACUGGAUGCUGGCAACCAGUUGAAGACCUCCAAGAAGAAGAAAAUGGCCCGGAUAAUGAAGGUGCCGCUAACAAAGGGGGUUUCAAUAUUCCAGAUUUUUAAAAUGCGUGCUAUCGGAAUGUAUGCGCGUUCUGACGUCGAGCAACCAUGCAGUUUUGUUCGUUCCCGCUCGUGCGAUACGAACAAAUACGCGAUUGACAUCAAGGAGGUGGAAGGCCACAGAACACCUCUGAACUUUGAAGGCAAAAUAGCCGCCCAAGCGGAAUGAAGAUCAACGAAUAUUUGCCUCAUGUCCCUGUUAAGAGCGUGUUGUAAAGAAAUUGUACGGAAAAGCCCGAAAAACUCAACAGUUUCAAUGA